rnacentral:rRNA from 1 species
UACGGAGGGGACUAGCGUUGUUCGGAAUUACUGGGCGUAAAGCGUGCGCAGGCGGUCUGUUAAGAGAGAUGUGAAAUCCCCGGGCUUAACCUGGGAACUGCGUUUCUAACUGGCAGGCUUGAGUGUGGCAGAGGGGGGUGGAAUUCCACGUGUAGCAGUGAAAUGCGUAGAGAUGUGGAGGAACACCGAUGGCGAAGGCAGCCCCCUGGGCUGACACUGACGCUCAGGCACGAAAGCGUGGGGAGCAAACAGG